rnacentral:rRNA from 1 species
UACGUAGGGUCCAAGCGUUAUCCGGAUUUAUUGGGUUUAAAGGGUGCGUAGGCGGAUUAUUAAGUCAGUGGUGAAAGCCUGCAGCUUAACUGCAGAACUGCCAUUGAUACUGAUGAUCUUGAGUACAGUUGAGGUGGGCGGAAUGUGUCAUGUAGCGGUGAAAUGCAUAGAUAUGACACAGAACACCUAUUGCGAAGGCAGCUCGCUAAACUGUAACUGACGCUGAGGCACGAAAGCGUGGGGAUCAAACAGG